rnacentral:lncRNA from 1 species
GAAAGAGGAAAAAAGUGAUCUGGGACCUGUUUUUCUUGCAUCCCAUUUCUACUCUGCCUGUGAGUGAAGACUGUUGUGGAAAAGUCAACUGGAGAGACCAGGUCAAAGGCCAAGCAGAAGAGGAAUUAGGCUUAAGACUGCACUGAGAGGGAACACUAGACCAUGGUGGCAAAAUGGCCGAAUAGGAACAGCUCCAGUCUACAGCUCCCAGGGAGAUUAAAGCAAAAGAUGGAGUCUCGACACGUUGCCCAAGCUGUUCUCAAACUCCAGGGCUUGAACAAUCUUCCCACCUUGGCCUCCCAAGGCACUGGAAUUACAGAGACAGUGCUCUGCAGGGAGUCUACCACUGUGAUGGUUAAUACUGAGUGUCAACUUGAUUGGAUUGAAGGAUGCAAAGUAUUGUUCCUGGGUGUGUCUGUGAGGGUGUUGCCAAAGGAGAUUAACAUUUGAGUCAGUGGGCUGGGAAAGGUAGACCCAGCCGUAAUCUAGGUGGGCACCAUCUAAUCAGCUGCCAGCACAGCUAGAAGAUAAAGUAGGCAGAAAAACAUGAAAACAAUAGACUGGCCUA